rnacentral:rRNA from 1 species
CAGUCGCCACGGGAAUACGAAGGGGGCUAGCGUUGUUCGGAAUCACUGGGCGUAAAGGGUGCGUAGGCUGGUUCUUAAGUCAGGGGUGAAAUCCCGAGGCUCAACCUCGGAACUGCCUUUGAUACUGGGGAUCUUGAGUCCGGAAGAGGUGAGUGGAACUGCGAGUGUAGAGGUGAAAUUCGUAGAUAUUCGCAAGAACACCGGUGGCGAAGGCGGCUCACUGGUCCGGAACUGACGCUGAGGCACGACAGCGUGGGGAGCGAACAGGAUUAGAUACCCCAGUAGUCCCUGUCUCUUAUAC